rnacentral:tRNA from 1 species
GCUGGAGUGGUGGAACUUGGCAGACACGCUAUCUUGAGGGGGUAGUGGGUUAACACCCGUGCGGGUUCAAGUCCCGCCUCCAGCA